rnacentral:rRNA from 1 species
CGCCUCUUGCAAAAACAACGCAUAAGAGGUCCUGCCUGCCCUGUGACUAUAUGUUCAACGGCCGCGGUAUUUUGACCGUGCAAAGGUAGCGCAAUCACUUGUCUUUUAAAUGAAGACCUGUAUGAAUGGCACGACGAGGGCCUAACUGUCUCCUUUUUCAAGUCAAUGAAAUUGAUCUUCCCGUGCAGAAGCGGGAAUAAACACAUAAGACGAGAAGACCCUAUGGAGCUUUAAACACAAAACAGACCACGUUAAACAACCCCCAUACAAGAACAAACUAAGUGGCCCCUGUUGAAAUGUUUUUGGUUGGGGCGACCGCGGGGCAACAAAAAACCCCCAUGUGGAAUAAAAAUACCUUUUUUAAAACCAAGAGCCACUGCUCUAAGCAACAGAAAAUCUGACCUAAUAGAUCCGGCCAAGCCGAUCAACGAACCGAGUUACCCUAGGGAUAACAGCGCAAUCCUCUUUUAGAGCCCAUAUCGACAAGAGGGUUUACGACCUCGAUGUUGGAUCAGGACAUCCUAAUGGUGCAGCCGCUAUUAAGGGUUCGUUUGUUCAACGAUUAAAGUCCU